CGAGGGGCAGCGGGGAGCAAGCUUGCUUGCUCUGCCGGCGACCGGCGCACGGGUGAGUAACACGUAUGCAACCUGCCCUCCGCAGGGGGAUAACCCGGAGAAAUCCGGACUAAUACCGCGUGGUACAUCUGUGGGGCAUCCCACGGGUGUUAAAAGGAAGCGAUUCCGGCGGAGGAUGGGCAUGCGGCGCAUUAGCUUGUUGGCGGGGUAACGGCCCACCAAGGCGACGAUGCGUAGGGGUUCUGAGAGGAAGGUCCCCCACACUGGUACUGAGACACGGACCAGACUCCUACGGGAGGCAGCAGUGAGGAAUAUUGGUCAAUGGGCGGGAGCCUGAACCAGCCAAGUCGCGUGAGGGAAGACGGUCCUAUGGAUUGUAAACCUCUUUAGGCGGGGAGCAAUGCCGGGCACGCGUGCCCGGAGGGAGAGUACCCGCAGAAUAAGCAUCGGCUAACUCCGUGCCAGCAGCCGCGGUAAUACGGAGGAUGCGAGCGUUAUCCGGAUUUAUUGGGUUUAAAGGGUGCGUAGGCGGAUUUUUAAGUCAGCGGUAAAAUGUCCGGGCUCAACCCGGGCCGGCCGUUGAAACUGGGGAUCUUGAGUGGGCGAGAAGUAUGCGGAAUGCGUGGUGUAGCGGUGAAAUGCAUAGAUAUCACGCAGAACUCCGAUUGCGAAGGCAGCAUACCGGCGCCCGACUGACGCUGAGGCACGAAAGCGUGGGGAUCGAACAGGAUUAGAUACCCUGGUAGUCCACGCAGUAAACGAUGAAUGCUAGUUGUCCGGUUCUUUGGGACUGGGUGA
rnacentral:rRNA from 1 species